GACGAACGCUGGCGGCAUGCUUAACACAUGCAAGUCGAACGGAAAGGCCCGUCUUUUGUGGGGUACGCGAGUGGCGAACGGGAGAGUAACACGUGAGUAGCCUGACCUUGACUGUGGGCUAACUUCAGGAAACUGUGGCUAGUACCGGAUAGGAGCUCCUGCUGCAUGGGGGGGGUUGGAAAGUUUCGGCGGUGGGGGAUGGACUCGCGGCUUAUCAGCUUGUUGGUGGGGUAGUGGCUGACCAAGGCUUUGACGGGUAGCCGGCCGGAGAGGGUGACCGGCCACAUUGGGACGGAGAAACGGCCCAGACGCCUACGGGGGGCAGCAGUGGGGAAGAAUGCACAAUGGGCGGAAGCCGGAUGAAGCAACGCCGCGGGGGGGAGGAAGGCCUUCGGGGGGUAAACCGCUUUCGCUUGCGACGAAGCGGGAGUGACGGUAAUGGGUAAAGAAGCACCGGCUAACUACGUG
rnacentral:rRNA from 1 species